AAAAAUCAUGUCUAAUCAUAUGGGAGGGAUCACUUCUCACAAUCUCAAGCAUUCAUAAAUUUUAUUCACCUUUCUCUUUGCUCAAUUGUUACACCUUUUCACACAACUUAUUAGCAUAAUUUAUUUGCUUUUUUUUUCUUUUUUCUUUUUCAAGACUUUUUCUUUUUUCUUUUAUUUUUCACUUUCCUUUUCUUUCUUUUUUUUCUUCAAAUUUUUCUUUCUCUUUCUCAACCUCUUAGUAACAAAC
rnacentral:lncRNA from 1 species